rnacentral:rRNA from 1 species
GACGAACGCUGGCGGCGUGCUUAACACAUGCAAGUCGAACGAAGUGGCGAACGGGUGAGUAACGCGUAAUCAACCUGCCCAUCAGAGGGGGACAACAGUUGGAAACGACUGCAAAUACCGCAUACUGAAGGAGGGGAUUGCGUCUGAUUAGCUAGUUGGAGGGGUAAUGGCCCACCAAGGCGAUGAUCAGUAGCCGGUCUGAGAGGGUGAACGACCACAUGGGGACUGAGACCCGGCCCAGACUCCUACGGGAGGCAGCAGUGGGGAAUCAUCCGCAAUGGGCGAAAGUCUGAAGGAGCAACGCCGGGUGAGUGAUGGAGGCCUUCGGGUUGUAAAGCUCUGUUAAGCGGGACGCGGUACCGGAAUAGAAAGCCACGGCUAACUACGUGCCAGCAGCCGCGGUAAUAC